GGACUUUGAGUCCACUGAAGGAACGUUUAAGACUAAGACGUUGAUAGGCUGGGUGUGUAAGUGCAGCGAUGCAUUGAGCUAACCAGUACUAAUGAUCCGUGAGGCUUAACCUUACAACACCGAAGGUGUUUUAG
rnacentral:rRNA from 1 species